rnacentral:rRNA from 1 species
GGUGUGGGUCUCAUUCCACGAGAUCCGUGCCGCAGCUAACGCAUUAAGUUCCCCGCCUGGGGAGUACGGCCGCAAGGCUAAAACUCAAAGGAAUUGACGGGGGCCCGCACAAGCGGCGGAGCAUGUGGAUUAAUUCGAUGCAACGCGAAGAACCUUACCAAGGCUUGACAUAUACCGGAAACAUCUAGAGAUAGAUGCCCCGCAAGGUCGGUAUACAGGUGGUGCAUGGUUGUCGUCAGCUCGUGUCGUGAGAUGUUGGGUUAAGUCCCGCAACGAGCGCAACCCUCGUUCUAUGUUGCCAGCGCGUAAAGGCGGGGACUCAUAGAAGACUGCCGGGGUCAACUCGGAGGAAGGUGGGGAUGACGUCAAAUCAUCAUGCCCCUUAUGUCUUGGGCUUCACACAUGCUACAAUGGCCGGUACAAAGGGCUGCGAAAUCGCAAGAUGGAGCGAAUCCCAAAAAACCGGUCUCAGUUCGGAUUGGGGUCUGCAACUCGACCCCAUGAAGUCGGAGUCGCUAGUAAUCGCAGAUCAGCAACGCUGCGGUGAAUACGUUCCCGGGCCUUGUACACACCGCC